AACGCACAUUGCGCCCUCUGGCAUUCCGGAGGGCACACCUGUCCGAGCGCCGUCGCAACACUGAGGCUCAGCCUUGCGUUGGAGGUCAGCUUUCGAGUUCUCGAGAGCCGUCUCCCAAACUUCGACGGCGCCGCGCCGCGGCCGACGAUGCACGAAAGCGAAGUCGACCGUGGACGUGGCCGCCUUGUAAAACCCACAAAGCUUGGCCUCGGAUCAGGUGGGGAUACCCGCUGAACUUAA
rnacentral:misc_RNA from 1 species